rnacentral:rRNA from 1 species
GGGACAGCAGGUUGGUCGUGCCACUGGUAUGAACUGGCUUUGCUGAUUCCUCCUUCUUGAAGAACCGUGAUGCCAUUAAUUUGGUGUUGCGGGGAAACAGGACUGUUACUUUGAAAAAUUAGAGUGUUUAAAGCAGGCUAACGCUUGAAUACAUUAGCACGGAAUAAUAAAAUAGGACGUUUGAUCCUAUUUUGUUGGUUUCUAGGGUUGACGUAAUGAUUAAUAGGGAUAGUUGGGC